rnacentral:rRNA from 1 species
GUAGGUGGCGAGCGUUAUCCGGAAUGAUUGGGCGUAAAGGGUGCGUAGGUGGCAGAUCAAGUCUGGAGUAAAAGGUAUGGGCUCAACCCGUACUGGCUCUGGAAACUGAUCAGCUAGAGAACAGAAGAGGACGGCGGAACUCCAUGUGUAGCGGUAAAAUGCGUAGAUAUAUGGAAGAACACCGGUGGCGAAGGCGGCCGUCUGGUCUGAUUCUGACACUGAAGCACGAAAGCGUGGGGAGCAAAUAGGAUUAGAUACCCUAGUAGUCCACGCCGUAAACGAUGAGAACUAGGUGUUGGGGGAAUAACUCAGUGCCGCAGUUAACGCAGUAAGUUCUCCGCCUGGGGAGU